UCUGUUAUGUGAAAUGACAAAUGCGAUUGGUCAAUUCUAAUGGACUAACCGAUCUGUUUGCUUUAACAAAGAUUGAUGAAAGAGAUCCUCAAUUAGAUUGAAUGCACAUAGGACGCGUCAACGCGUUACGCGUGGCGAGAUAACCAAUCAUUCUUGCGCUUUCUUAAUUUUUUUCAUAAAAUAGAAAGAAUGAUUUUAAUGGUGUUGAUGAAAUCCACCCAUUAUGCUGCUUUUAGCUUUUAGACUUCUUUCAUAUGAGACGUAAUUUGCAUAAGCUUAUAAACUUACAUCAGCCAAACAAAUCGUCUCACUAUCAUACACAAAUCUGUCUAAUUAUUUAUUGAGACAAUUUGAUUGGUUGACGCAAGUUACGUUCUACAUGAAAGCAGCCUUAAUAAUAACCUUUUGUGGAAAAACACGUUGAUAGCUAUCGUUCGAAUUUCCGCGGCUGGUGUAUUGCUGUAUUUAUGUCGUAUGCCAGACUAUAUUUCUUCAUAUGCAUAUUCGUGUGUAAUUACAUAUACAAAAUGGAUGAGGAUAAUAAUAAUGUAUUGACUAGAAGAGGGUCUUAUAAACGAUAUUUGCAAGACGACAAUGUAUCAGUACCGGAGUCAACAAUCCGUUCCCGUAUACAACGAGAACAAAUGUCAUUACAACAGGAGCAAGAAACGGAUAUCAACGAUAUUUCUGUGAUAUCGGAACAAUUAUCUGUGAAUUCCAAUGAGAACGAACAUGUCACUGAUGCUGAAAAUAGUUCGGAUAACAGUGAUCAGAGUAUUAACGGUCCAACAGCAUCUGGCAGUCCAAAACAUAAUGAUGAUGCAGUCAGUGUAAUCAUUGAAUCAAAUUUCGACCUUUUGGAUAAGGCCUCCGAUACAAUUAUGGAUGACAUCUCUGUAGUUAAUAAAGCUGACUCUGAUACUGCAUCAAUAUCAGAUAGUUCAAAUAGUUCAGUUGGAAGCGAAAGACAAAACUCGUUUGAUGUUACAUCUAAUAAUGACACAUCAGAUUUAGAAGAUGUAUUUUAAGAUAAUGAAGAAUUCUUGGAACCUGCAGGGAAUGCAAAUUUUAUUCCACCAGAGGGCAAUGAUAAGGAACGCGUUUCAUUAUAUGAACAAUCGAAUAUAUCCAAGAUGGAAAGCGAACUUCUCAUAUUAAAUUUUGCGAUACGGCACAGUUUGACCGAUGUUGCUCUUGAAGAUCUCAUCACUUUGAUAAAU